UACGGGGGGGGCAAGCGUUGUUCGGAAUUACUGGGCGUAAAGGGCUCGUAGGCGGCCAACUAAAUCCGACGUGAAAUCCCCAGGCUUAACCUGGGAACUGCGUCGGAUACUGGAUGGCUUGAAUUCGGGAGAGGGAUGCAGAAUUCCAGGUGUAGCGGUGAAAUGCGUAGAUAUCUGGAGGAAUACCGGUGGCGAAGGCGGCAUCCUGGACCGACAUUGACGCUGAUGAGCGAAAGCUAGGGGAGCAAACGGG
rnacentral:rRNA from 1 species